rnacentral:rRNA from 1 species
GACGAAGGUGGCUAGCGUUGUUCGGAAUCACUGGGCUUAAAGAGCACGUAGGCGGUCUGUUAAGCACCUUGUGAAGUCCCUCGGCUCAACCGGGGAAUUGCUUGGUGUACUGGCAGACUUGAGGCAAGUAAGGGUGCAUGGAACUCUUGGUGGAGCGGUGAAAUGCGUAGAUAUCAAGAGGAACGCCGGAGGCGAAAGCGAUGCACUGGGCUUGUCCUGACGCUGAGGUGCGAAAGCCAGGGGAG